rnacentral:rRNA from 1 species
UACGAAGGGGGCUAGCGUUGCUCGGAAUCACUGGGCGUAAAGCGCACGUAGGCGGAUUGCUAAGUCAGGGGUGAAAUCCCGGGGCUCAACCUCGGAACUGCCUUUGAUACUGCAAGUCUCGAGUCCGAUAGAGGUGAGUGGAAUUCCUAGUGUAGAGGUGAAAUUCGUAGAUAUUAGGAAGAACACCAGUGGCGAAGGCGGCUCACUGGAUCGGUACUGACGCUGAGGUGCGAAAGCGUGGGGAGCAAACAGG